rnacentral:misc_RNA from 1 species
CUAGUUCCACUUUUUUCUUGAAAUCUUUUGAAAAAAAUGAAGGCAGAAAGACUUUUUAUUUUCGUCCUUCCUUGUUGGAAGAAAUAGAAUGGAGUUCCCUUCAGAAUAAGCAGUUGAUUUAUGUAAAUCAGAAAAAGGCCAAGUCUUUUGUUGUUGAUCGUUCAAAAGAAUCCAUGGAAAUGGAAUUCUACGCAUACCCAUCUCGUGUUUUCCCUCUUACCUCUUCUAUUUGUUCGUUUUGUAUAAGGGAUUUGGUUGAUAGGGCUAAAG